GAACCAGUACCGUGAGGGAAAGGCGAAAAGAACCCCGGCGAGGGGAGUGAAAAAGAACCUGAAACCGUGUACGUACAAGCAGUGGGAGCACAGGUUUACCUGUGUGACUGCGUACCUUUUGUAUAAUGGGUCAGCGACUUAUAUUCUGUAGCAAGGUUAACCGAAUAGGGGAGCCGCAGGGAAACCGAGUCUUAAUUGGGCGUUAAGUUGCAGGGUAUAGACCCGAAACCCGGUGAUCUAGCCAUGGGCAGGUUGAAGGUUGGGUAACACUAACUGGAGGACCGAACCGACUAAUGUUGAAAAAUUAGCGGAUGACCUGUGGCUGGGGGUGAAAGGCCAAUCAAACCGGGAGAUAGCUGGUUCUCCCCGAAAGCUAUUUAGGUAGCGCCUCGUGAACUCAUCUCCGGGGGUAGAGCACUGUUUCGGCUAGGGGGCCAUCCCGGCUUACCAACCCGAUGCAAACUGCGAAUACCGGAGAAUGUUAUCACGGGAGACACACGGCGGGUGCUAACGUCCGUCGUGAAGAGGGAAACAACCCAGACCGCCAGCUAAGGUCCCAAAGUCAUGGUUAAGUGGGAAACGAUGUGGGAAGGCCCAGACAGCCAGGAUGUUGGCUUAGAAGCAGCCAUCAUUUAAAGAAAGCGUAAUAGCUCACUGGUCGAGUCGGCCUGCGCGGAAGAUGUAACGGGGCUAAACCAUGCACCGAAGCUGCGGCAGCGACGCUGAUGCGUUGUUGGGUAGGGGAGCGUUCUGUAAGCCUGUGAAGGUGGCCUGUGAGGGUUGCUGGAGGUAUCAGAAGUGCGAAUGCUGACAUAAGUAACGAUAAAGCGGGUGAAAAGCCCGCUCGCCGGAAGACCAAGGGUUCCUGUCCAACGUUAAUCGGGGCAGGGUGAGUCGACCCCUAAGGCGAGGCCGAAAGGCGUAGUCGAUGGGAAACGGGUUAAUAUUCCCGUACUUGGUGUUACUGCGAAGGGGGGACGGAGAAGGCUAUGUUGGCCGGGCGACGGUUGUCCCGGUUUAAGCGUGUAGGUGUGUGUUCCAGGUAAAUCCGGUU
rnacentral:rRNA from 1 species